rnacentral:rRNA from 1 species
GACGAACGCUGGCGGCGUGCUUAACACAUGCAAGUCGAACGGAAAGGCCCUGCUUUUGUGGGGUGCUCGAGUGGCGAACGGGUGAGUAACACGUGAGUAACCUGCCCUUGACUUUGGGAUAACUUCAGGAAACUGGGGCUCAUACCGGAUAGGAGCUCCUGCUGCAUGGGGGGGGUUGGAAAGUUUCGGCUGUUGGGGAUGGACUCGAGGCUUAUCAGCUUGUUGGUGGGGUAGUGGCUUACCAAGGCUUUGACGGGUAGCCGGCCUGGGAGGGUGACCGGCCACAUUGGGACUGAGAUACGGCCCAGACUCCUACGGGAGGCAGCAGUGGGGAAUAUUGCACAAUGGGCGGAAGCCUGAUGCAGCAACGCCGCGUGCGGGAUGACGGCCUUCGGGUCGUAAACCGCUUUCGCCUGUGACGAAGCGUGAGUGACGGUAAUGGGUAAAGAAGCACCGGCUAACUACGUG